GACGAACGCCGGCGGCGUGCCUAAUACAUGCAAGUGGGACGCAAGAGAACACACUGUGCUUGCACACCGUGUUUUCUUGAGUCGCGAACGGGUGAGUAACGCGUAGGUAACCUGCCUAUUAGCGGGGGAUAACUAUUGGAAACGAUAGCUAAUACCGCAUAAUAUUAAUUAUUGCAUGAUAAUUGAUUGAAAGAUGCAAGCGCAUCACUAGUAGAUGGACCUGCGUUGUAUUAGCUAGUUGGUAAGGUAAGAGCUUACCAAGGCGACGAUACAUAGCCGACCUGAGAGGGUGAUCGGCCACACUGGGACUGAGACACGGCCCAGACUCCUACGGGAGGCAGCAGUAGGGAAUCUUCGGCAAUGGACGAAAGUCUGACCGAGCAACGCCGCGUGAGUGAAGAAGGUUUUCGGAUCGUAAAGCUCUGUUGUAAGUCAAGAACGUGUGUGAGAGUGGAAAGUUCACACAGUGACG
rnacentral:rRNA from 1 species